GACAACAUCAACAACACUCUGCUUGCUUCUCACCCAAGUUUUACCCCUUCACAUAUGUAUUUUUCCUUCAACCUAUUCUUAGAUUGCUCUUUCGACUCUACAAAGGUAUGUGAAACCAGAUUACCACACCUGAUAAAGAAUAUAAACACAGCAGAGCUCCGUGGUCCCUGCGAAGAGCCGGCUGUCAACUGUUGUGGCCUUUCAGAGCCGGGCUUUUUCCUCCGUGGCCAGCUUUUUCACCCACAGUUAGCCACCAGGGGGCCGCCUGUUUGGAAUAAAUGGUGCAGACUCCCCAGCUUUCCUCCAAACCAACCAAAACAUCCCGGGGCAGCUUUGGAGCAAAGCCCGGGAACUUCCCUGCAAAGGAGAACAACUUCUCUCCAGCUACAAAAACUGCAAGUCCUAUGGUGCAGCCUCAUUACGAGGGAAGAAUAAAGCACGGAGUUAGAGGCAAGGACCCAGGGGAAACAGGGUCCGUGGAGUCUGAAGGAAGAGAUCCUUCCCUCUCACCAGGGGGCCGCGAGGUCUGCGAUUUUUCCUCUUGAAGCGCGCUGAAACACUGCAUCCAGGCGCCGGGAACAAUUCUAGGCUUCUUGACAGUUGUGGUUGUUAAUGCUGUCAGCAGGGGUGGUGGCUUCUCGCCCCUUUCCGUGAGAUGCUCACAAGAAGCUGUAAUAAAACAUACGUCACCGGCUGGAAAUCUAGAAAACUCUCCAAUAAAUCAUCUAUACGUUGUUCAGACAGUUGAGGCUACAAAUCGUCAUAGGUCUAUUAAUUGUUUCUUAUACGAAUAAAUGUGUGUAUUGAAGGAGAAAGUCGGAAUUAUUUUAAUAUCAUCGAUGAGAAAAUAAUUACACUCUGUCGUCAAAAUAGUU
rnacentral:lncRNA from 1 species